AGUGAACGCUGGCGGUAGGCCUAACACAUGCAAGUCGAACGGCAGCACAGUAAGAGCUUGCUCUUACGGGUGGCGAGUGGCGGACGGGUGAGGAAUACAUCGGAAUCUACUUUUUCGUGGGGGAUAACGUAGGGAAACUUACGCUAAUACCGCAUACGACCUACGGGUGAAAGCAGGGGCUCUUCGGACCUUGCGCGAUUGAAUGAGCCGAUGUCGGAUUAGCUAGUUGGCGGGGUAAAGGCCCACCAAGGCGACGAUCCGUAGCUGGUCUGAGAGGAUGAUCAGCCACACUGGAACUGAGACACGGUCCAGACUCCUACGGGAGGCAGCAGUGGGGAAUAUUGGACAAUGGGCGCAAGCCUGAUCCAGCCAUACCGCGUGGGGGAAGAAGGCCUUCGGGUUGUAAAGCCCUUUUGUCGGGAAAGAAAAGCAGCAGGUUAAUACCCCGCUGUUCUGACGGUACCCAAAGAAUAAGCACCGGCUAACUUCGUG
rnacentral:rRNA from 1 species